CCCUAGUAUAUAGAGGGAUUAUGGGUUAGUAUAAAUUAAAAACUAAUAAUUUUGGCGGUUAAUUAUAGAUUAGAGGAGCUUGUUUGAGAUAAGAUUUUACUCUUUAAAUUUUAAUAUUAAUGAAGUUUAUUCAUCUCUGUUAUUAAAUAAAAAUUGGAAUAAUAGUUUUUAAGAUUUCAGGUCAAGAUGUAACAAUUAAUAUAUAAAAUUAGCUACAAUUAUAAAAUAUUGGAAAUAAAAAUGUAAAUUUUAUUAUAAAUUGAAUUUAGUAGUAAUAAAAUUUAGAACAAUUGUAUGAUUUUUAUUAAUUAAUGUA
rnacentral:rRNA from 1 species